CUUCAAUUAGAACAAAUGAAAGGAAAAUGCAGGUUGCACAAAAAACAAAUAGCUAUCACAAGCAAUUAAAAAUUAUGAAAACGAGUGUAACGGGAUAUAGUCCAUCAUUUUCUGCACCCAAUAAACAUGUUUCCAGUAGUUGGACUUAGAUCCACAGGUACAUACAAAAAAAUAAAAAAAAUAAAAACCACUGGUGCAGAUUUAUACAAAAAGAUAUAUGCACAAUUCAUGUACACUUUAUAAAUACCCAAU